UAUGCUGAACAGUCUUUAUAAUAAAUGUUGUUUUAAUGAACAUCCAAUAAAUUUUUACAUAUAUAUAAGGUAUAUAUAUGUAGGACUAUGCAGACAUAUUAUGCAGUUAUAAAAGAUGCACAAAACUAUGAAGCUUGUGGUAAUAAUGACAUCGUCUUUGACAACUGAGAAUUUUUUGCGGAUUACGCAUCAGGUCUGAUUAGAUCUGUGUUUUCAGUCAUAGCAGAGCUAAUUUAAGUGGGACGGAAGACAUCGGAGUCUCAAUGUCUUUCUCUGUAUCUCUGGAUCGUUUCAAGGUAUUUGAACAUGGCAAUGAAUUUGCUCUCUUUCUUCAAGCCUGGCAUACUGCCUACCUCACACACAAACAGUAGGAUUGUUCUCCCAAGUCAAUAUUAGAGAUCUAACUUCUUUCUUAUUUAUUAAUAUAAGACAAGUGCAAAUUGGAGACUUACUGUUUUAUUUGUCCCCUGUGGAGCAUCUGGGCAGCCUACAAUACCCGUGUCCUCACACACCCCAGGCUUUGUGGCUCUGGUUGUAGAACGUAGGCGGGAGACCAACGCAGACACCAAUAGGAGCUGCUUGUCUGUUGGUAAUCAGAGCAGAGAUCAAUUAAGUCUGAGAUAAACAGUUACUGGCCAAUUCAAAUAAUACAUAUUUCAUUUCAGCCUCUUGUAAAUUAACAAAGCAAAAUACUAAAAAUAAUAAUUGUGUCCCCUGAAGUUCAGGUAUUACAAGUGAACAUAGCUUAGAAUUUUCUCGGAACAAUACUUUGUGAUAGAUUCUCCGGUCAGUGUGUUAGAAACAAGACCCCUUCCCUGGUGGUGAUACAGCGAGAAGUCAGUAGCCUGUGACCCAGAAGAGAGGUUUCCCCAGAAUCCGGCCAUGCUAGCACCCUGUUCUAGGACUUUCAACAUCCAGAACUGUGAGAAGUAAGUAUCUGUUAGUUACAAGUGGUGUUUUGUUACAGGAGCUCAAAUGGACCAGGGUCAAGAACAAAGAUGAACAGGAAUAUUUGACCUAGGUUCUCUGCUGCAGUAUUACAGAAGGUGCUCAGGGAGGCUUGAAUUGACAUUCAUCUCUCCGUCUCUCUGCCCAAACACUAGCCCUUCAUAAAUGCAUAUGCCCACUUCACUGAAGAUGCUGCAGCUCUCCCAAGUAGCAAGGAGGAUCACACCCCCGCCUCAAUUUCCAGGGGCCAGUGUCGCACUCAGGGAUUGGUGACUGAGAAAGGCAUAACGAGAAGAUGAAUGUGCUUCAACCUUCGAAGUGUCUCCAGUUCCUGGCUUUGUUCUUUCCCUCAGGCUGAACGAGGACUCAGAUCCAUUACCUUUGUGCUCUGGUGCUGCUGCUUUGUUGUCUAUGCAGGUGUAGUGGCCCCUGAGGAGGCACAGCUGUGACCUGGGCUCCCAUGAGACC